ensembl:snoRNA
AGUCAAUGAGGUACUGGCAGUAAUAACUGAAUUUACUACUAAUGUGUAAUAAUACCUUAACUCUUAGAAUUAUGUUGAGGCCUU